rnacentral:lncRNA from 1 species
CGACCUCCCAAGUCCAUGAACCACCUUGAUCUGAAAAAGCUGAGGACCUCCAAUCUGAUAUCAUCCUCACUAUCAAUCCGUUGACGCUCAGCACUCCUCAACAUCCUGAUUGGGUUCCUCUAUCACUUGAUGAUAGUUGUCUAAUGAAAGAAUCUGAUAUUUUUAUCACCCUCCCGCAACCACUGGACCCUAGACUUCUGCCACC